rnacentral:rRNA from 1 species
UACGUAGGGUGCGAGCGUUGUCCGGAAUUAUUGGGCGUAAAGGGCUCGUAGGCGGUUUGUCGCGUCGGGAGUGAAAUCCACUGGCUUAACUGGUGGCUUGCUUUCGAUACGGGCAGACUGGAGGUAUGCAGGGGAGAACGGAAUUCCUGGUGUAGCGGUGAAAUGCGCAGAUAUCAGGAGGAACACCGGUGGCGAAGGCGGGUCUCUGGGCCGACAUUGACGCUGAGGAGCGAAAGCGUGGGGAGCGAACAGG